UGGGGAAUAUUGGACAAUGGGCGAAAGCCUGAUCCAGCCAUGCCGCGUGUGUGAAGAAGGUCUUCGGAUUGUAAAGCACUUUAAGUUGGGAGGAAGGGCAUUAACCUAAUACGUUAGUGUUUUGACGUUACCGACAGAAUAAGCACCGGCUAACUCUGUGCCAGCAGCCGCGGUAAUACAGAGGGUGCAAGCGUUAAUCGGAAUUACUGGGCGUAAAGCGCGCGUAGGUGGUUCGUUAAGUUGGAUGUGAAAGCCCCGGGCUCAACCUGGGAACUGCAUCCAAAACUGGCAAGCUAGAGUACGGUAGAGGGUGGUGGAAUUUCCUGUGUAGCGGUGAAAUGCGUAGAUAUAGGAAGGAACACCAGUGGCGAAGGCGACCACCUGGACUGAUACUGACACUGAGGUGCGAAAGCGUGGGGAGCAAACA
rnacentral:rRNA from 1 species